rnacentral:rRNA from 1 species
UGGGGAAUAUUGCGCAAUGGGGGCAACCCUGACGCAGCAACGCCGCGUGCGGGACGACGGCCUUCGGGUUGUAAACCGCUUUCAGCAGGGAAGAUAGUGACGGUACCUGCACAAGAAGCCCCGGCUAACUACGUGCCAGCAGCCGCGGUAAUACGUAGGUGGCAAGCGUUGUCCGGAAUUACUGGGCGUAAAGAGCUCGUAGGCGGUUUGUCACGUCGUCUGUGAAAUCCUAGGGCUUAACCCUGGACGUGCAGGCGAUACGGGCUGACUUGAGUACUACAGGGGAGACUGGAAUUUCUGGUGUAGCGGUGGAAUGCACAGAUAUCAGGAAGAACACCGAUGGCGAAGGCAGGUCUCUGGGUAGUAACUGACGCUGAGGAGCGAAAGCAUGGGUAGCGAACAGG